rnacentral:lncRNA from 1 species
CUUGUAUCCCUCAUAUCUAGAACCAUAAAGGAGAGGAUGAAAGCUGCAGGACUGCAAGUGACUUUAGAGACCAUUGAGGCCAACAGAGGGGGGAAACUGAGGCCCAGGGAAAUGGCUUGCUCAGGGGCACACUGCAAGUGAAUAUCAGUGGCAAGGUUUGAUCCCAGGUCUUUGACUCCCAAACCAGUGUCCUUUCCCUGGGCACAGCCAAACCCACCAGGUGCCGUAGGAGCCAGCCCCCAUCAGAGAACAGCAACACCAGAGAACCCAUGGUUCCUCUCUUUAAGCUGAUCAUUGAUGCUAAGGAAGCGAUCCCUCUUUCCCUCUCUCUGUCAUUGUCUGUCACUUUCUCUGUCUCUCUGUCUCCUCCCUCUUUCUGUCUCUAUCUCUUUUUGUCUGUCUGUCUGUCUGUCUCUCUUUUUUGGGGGGGCUACGCAAUGGGGUUUAAGUGACUUGCCCAGGGUCACACAGCUAGUGAGUAUUAUGUGUCUAAGGCUGAAUUUGAACUCAGAUCCUCCUGACUCUCAGGCCAGCACUCUAUCCACUGCACCACCUAGCUGCCCUUCUGUCUCUCUUUCUUGCCCUUUCUCUCCAUCUCUUUGUAUCCCCCCUCUCUCUGUCUCUUUAUUUCUUUUUGUCUGUCUGUCUCCAUCUUUGUCUCUGUCUCUCUUUGUUGUCUCUCCCCCUUCUUUCUCUUCUUCUCUGUUUAUCUCUGUCUUUCUUCCUCUCCAUCUUUGCCUCUCUCCCUCUCUUUUUUUGUCUCUUUCUUUCUCUCCCUGUCUUUCCCUCUUCUUCAUCUCUCUAUCUCAGUUUUCUCUCUUCCUUGCUAUCUCUCUGUCAGUUCUAUUUUUCUUAUUCUGUCUGCCUCUCUCUCCCAUCCUCCUUUCUUUUUGUCUGUCUCUGUCUCCCUUUGUCUAUCUGUCUCUCCUCUCUCUCUCUCUCUCUCUCUCUCUCUCUCUCUCUCUCUCUCUCUCUCUCUCUCUCUCUCUCUCUCUCUCUCUCUCUCCCUCCCUCCCUCCCUCCC